ACGUAGGGGGCAAGCGUUGACCGGAUUUACUGGGUGUAAAGGGCGCGCAGGCGGAAUGGAAAGUCAGUGGUGAAAUCCUACAGCUUAACCGUAGAACUGCCUUUGAUACUUUCAUUCUUGAGUACGUGAGAGAGAGACAGAAUUCCAGGUGUAGUGGUGAAAUGCGUAGAUAUCUGUGUCCUCCCCACUUUCUUAGGCAGUCACUUGUUCCCUUCCUCCCUCUCUUCCUCUUUUUCUUUUUUUUCCUCCUU
rnacentral:rRNA from 1 species